rnacentral:rRNA from 1 species
UACGAAGGGGCUAGCGUUGCUCGGAAUCACUGGGCGUAAAGCGCACGUAGGCGGAUUGCUAAGUCAGGGGUGAAAUCCUGGAGCUCAACUCCCAGAACUGCCUUUGAUACUGGCGAUCUUGAGUCCGGGAGAGGUGAGUGGAACUGCGAGUGUAGAGGUGAAAUUCGUAGAUAUUCGCAAGAACACCAGUGGCGAAGGCGGCUCACUGGCCCGUAUACUGACGCUGAGGUGCGAAAGCGUGGGAGCGAACGGG